rnacentral:rRNA from 1 species
AAACUUAAAGGAAUUGACGGGACCCCGCACAAGCGGUGGAUCAUGUGUUAAUUCGAUGAUACGCGAAGAACCUUACCAGGUCUUGACAUCCCCGCGAUGCUUUAGAGAUAAAGCGGAGGUAUUCGGGGAGACAGGUGGUGCAUGGUUGUCGUCAGCUCGCGUCGUGAGAUGUUGGGUUAAGUCCCGCAACGAGCGCAACCCUUAUCUUUAAUUGCCAUCAUUCAGUUGGGCACUUUAGAGAGACUGCCGGUGUUAAACCGGAGGAAGGUGGGGAUGACGUCAAGUCCUCAUGGCCUUUAUGCUUAGGGCUACACACGUGCUACAAUGGGUAGUACAAAGAGAAGCCAACUCGCGAGAGUGCGCAAAUCUCAAAAAGCUAUCCUAAGUUCGGAUUGAAGUCUGCAACUCGACUUCAUGAAGCUGGAAUCGCUAGUAAUCGCGGAUCAGCAUGCCGCGGUGAAUACGUUCCCGGGCCUU